AAAAACCUGGGAAAAAGAUAGUGAGAGAAGAGCUAACAGAGUUCAGAGCAACCUCCAGAGACUGAAAGGAACUCAUCUGCAAAGAGCCAAUUCCAUCUCAUAUAAACCCUCAGAUUGCUUUGCAAACCCAACCGAGCAAUUCAAUUUCAUUCGAUCUCUCCAAUCAGGUUUGCCCUAUUUCCACUACUUUAUACUUUCAACCUGAAAUUUUUGAUACCCUUUU
rnacentral:lncRNA from 1 species